rnacentral:lncRNA from 1 species
GGAGUGGGCAAGAUGGAUUAAGGUUUGGUGGAGUGUGUGUGUGUGUGUGUGUGUGUGUUGUGUGUGUGUUUGUGUUUGUGUUUGUGUAGGAGUGGGCAAGAUGGGUUAAGGUUCGGUGGAGUGUGUGUGUGUGUAAGGGUAUGUUCACACUAGAAGCAGAGCGGUCCGGUUAGGUGUUCACUCAAUAAGCAGAGCAGGGUGACUUACACAAGAAUUCUGGGUGUCCUCUUAGCCACAGAGCAGGUCGGGCAGGCAACAAUAUGAUGAAAAAGAAAUAAUAAUAAUAAUGAAUAAAUAAAUAGUGUCAAACUC